GCAAUGCCCAGGGUCACCUUGCUGUCAUGCUGGAGAUAGGGAUCCUCCUGUCCUCUGUCUCCUAGAGCCAGCUGGCCAUGGUCCAUUGGCAUGGACAAUUCUUGGGGAAACUGGGAAAUAAUAAGAUCAGUUCACUAGCUACACCCCAAUUCCUGCUCCCUUCCUAUCCUUCCAUCUAGGUCUGGCUCCUCCUCUUCUGCUCUCUCUGAGCCACUAAGAACCCCCACUCUCUGAAGGUUCCUUUGAAUCAUAAGAGUGUCACACCGACCAUCCUACUGCCCCUCAAGACUCAAUUUCCCUCUGUCACUUUGUCUCAUGAAAAGGUUAUUCAUAACUAACUCACUUAAAGCCACCAGGAAUGUUUAAGGGUCAUCUAUGGAGGGUCUCAAUGUACAACACCCAAACCAGGCAGUGGCAUUUAUGCAAAGACAGAGCUGAUGAGGGUCCGCUCGGCAAAUGUAUAGCCACUACUUAUCUUCCCCUGGGCUUCAGCCAAAGCCAGCAGCAAUGUCAGAGCAGUCAGGGUGUCUGGCUUUCAGAGUGUCCUUUGGAGGACAGCAGGCUUAGCAUGGAUGCCGGGAUUGCUUUAGAAGACUGACGGCAAUCAAGCAGGAAACAGAACUACAUAGAAGAAGAGAACUGUAGGAACCAUCACGAGGUUCAAAAUGAACCAAAAAUAUCAACAUGAUUGUCAGAAAAGCUAAUGCAAUGUCACUCAUCAACAUAAAGAAUUCAAAGCAAGGGAGACAAAAACAUCUUCGGAGGCGUAUGCUAAAGGGACCACACAUGGGAAGGUAUUCAUGGCUCAGUGACGACUUGAAGAAGGGAUGGUGAAAAAUUGGAGUAUGCUCUUGGGUUGUGUUCAGGAUAGCAGAGAUGUGGAAAUCACAUCCUUCCAGAAAUGCAUCCUCUAAAACACAGCUACUUACAUGACAGACAAGUGGGCACCAUCUCAUCUUCUCCCCCACUUGUCCCUCUCCAGAAUCCCCAUGGAAAUAACCUAUAAGGUCCUCCAUUGUAUGGUUUGAAUCUGGAUCCAGGUUCCCUACAUUGUAAGAAUCUACAUUUCUAUUUUCUUCAAAGGUGUGUAUAUGAUGACCAUUGGAUCUGAUAUUUAUCAAGGCUGUUAUCAUUUUCUCAUGAUCAGUAUUAUGGUAGAUUUUUACUAAUAUUCUUUGUUAGUCCCAGUCUUCCUUUAUCUCCGGGAAGACAGGUUCUCUAGUACCUCAUAAUGAAAAAUAGUUAUUGAUUUGACAGAUGAAAACUUUCAACAGGAAAGACUUGUUAUUUUUCUCAGCUUUGGUCAUAUCAACACAUUGUGGAGCUUCUCAAUACCUGGUCCCUGGAGGUCUAUGAUUGUCACAGUUCCAGAGUUCCCCACAUUAAACAUGUAAUGAGUGAAAACAAUGUUGUUUUAAGACAGCAAGAUUUGGGAGUUAACUUGUUACUGCAGCAUAAUCUAUCUAAAACCAACUAACACAAUCACCUUGCUAAAAAACAUGUGCCUGGGAUGUAUCUAAUCUUUAAUAGACUCGGGCCUCUAAAUGAAGGCCUGGUACUAUUGUAGCUGGAUCUCAGAUUAGGAGUGAUAGGAGAUACUUGUAAGAAUCACUGUUUCCUUCUUAAAGCUUUACAUGGUAUGGAGUCUCCUCUUGGAAGUUACCUUUAACACUCCUCCACCCCAAGUUUCAAGAUUAAUGUCUCAAGAUCUGCCUGCAUUCUAUACACUGAUAUAAUGGGGGGAGGGGAGAGAAAGUUCUGGGUAAAGAAGCCAAACUUUGCAAUAGAAACUGGACAUUAGCCUCUGAAUGGUUAAUAAAAAUGGCCACUCUUAAUCAUCCUCACAGCAUAUACUCCCCCAGGGGUCUAUGGGCCAGCAGGAAACCAGCUUGGAGAGAAAGGUUACACUUCUGUAUCUCCAACAAGGGUUUAAUUAGAAGUGUUCCUGUUUGCUAAACAAACACUCAUGCAUUAUGAAAUUAAUCAACCAUUCUGCCUAGCAAGGUUAGGACCUGAGUCCUUGGCUGAGAAACACGUGUUUACGGUCUCUGGGAAUUCCUUUCCUGGUCCCAGGCAGGAGGUUACCAGAGAAGACAACAAAUCAAUAGUCUGACAUAACUUUCAGACAUCAAUUCAUUGGUGAAGAAAGUCUGCAUGUUCACAGAUCUGAUUU